rnacentral:tRNA from 1 species
UCCCUGGUGGUCUAGUGGUUAGGAUUUGGCGCUUUCACUGCUGUAGGCUGGGUUCAAUCCCUGGUCUGGGAA